CGCUCGGCUCCCAACCUUCACGCUUUCCUUCUGUUCCCCUUCCACACCUUGUGAUCUCUCUUGACACAAGGAAACAUUUCUGUCACCUUCAUUCCCUUCCUCAUGUAGAAAGCAAAACUAAUGUCUCCGGUACUAUGAAAAUACAUUGGUGUGCAGGAAGGAAAGGCCAAGGGAGGUAAUGCAGCACCACACGUGCUCGUACAGGCUGCCUUACAUUGUCUACAUUUUCUUCACCAGCUCCUUGGACUUUGAGGAAUUCCUUAUUCCCCCCGGAUCAAGAAAAAAAACCCGUUCACCAAGGAACAGCAAUCGCACUGAAGUGAAAGGAACUGUUGAGCAAUCAAAUGGUGUGAGCUUAGCACUUCUCUAGUGUGCUAAUUCUCCACUCAUCAAAGCUGACAACUAUAAAAGCGUGCUGGAAUUAAUAGUAAAUGCAGAGUUCCCCUCGCCCAUGCUCUUCUGAUGUCUGAGAAAGCAGAUACACACCAGUGUGUCACCCACUUGCCGCUCACAUGAUCAAGAUUCUUUCUCAUUUCCCACAUGCAGUUAUUUAAAUAAAUGGGGGGGGUUUGGGUUUUUGCUUAUUAUUUUUUUAAAGGGAGGGAGAGUAUUUGGCAGCCUCCCCCAAGCUUGCUCAAGACUUCUUAGAAACCAAAGCAAAAUUGAACUGAGUGUUAAAGCUGACAGGAGAUGGUAGAAGAACUACUGGAAUUUUGAGCAGAAUCUAAGAGGGGAAGGGGAGCUGAGAAAGAUCACUGGAUUUUCAUACGUGCAUCACAGGAAACGCAUCAGAAAAUGACAGGGAACCCUUAGCAUUCCCGCCCCGUUGUGGAUAUUCGCGGAUGGCACCAAAGGCAGGCAAUUUGACAGCCGUGGGAACAGGUAAUCUGCACUGGGAAACAAAAAUGCAGAACCAGAAACACCCUCUGGGACAGACCAUUUUUAUCAUGGCCCCAAAAGGACACUGCAAAUAGAAAACACAACUGGUGAUCCCUAAAGUUGAAAUAAAACACUUUCCGAUAUUACACCUACAUAGUUGACUUCACAGCAUUUUCAUUCUUGAAAUAUUUUCAUUAAUCCCGAUUAUGUGCUGAAAAAAAAGAUAAAUGGGCUGAAAAACAAGGAAAAGUUAAUCAAAGAGAAAUUAAGACAGCAAUGUUUUGUUUCUCAAGCCCUACCCUUGCACCUUGUGCACUUUCCUACUGACCCAUCUUCAGCCUUAAAGAUGAAAAUAAAUAGAAUAUCAUACUGCAUGGGUGCAAAAUGCACAUCUCAGAAUAACAAACAAACCAUUAGUUAUUAGUUUCCAGUAGCCAGAUGAGUGUUGAAGUAUGAUGAGAUAUUCGAUGUGCUGAGAAGUGAUUUAGAUUUUGGGUACAUGUAGUGUUAAAAGAAAAAAAAAAUCCAAAUAUUAAAUGCAUACAAGGAAUUAGGCCAGCAGAGGUAGCUGUUAGCACAACAAAAAUCAACAACUGUAAUUUUUUUUUAGUAUGUAUUCUAAAUUCAGACUGCAGUAUUGGAAAUUCAGUUAGAUUUAAUUUGUUCCUCCUUUACUAUUUUACUCUAAUUUUAGUUGUUUGGGUUAGCCCAUUUCCAAUGGUAAUUAUCUGUUUCUAGCUCCUAUGUACCACUUAUUUUCUAUCCUUCCCAUUUUUAUUUUGUCAGUCUGGGGUUCAGAAAGGAUGAGUCACCUCCAAAUAAUCCCAGGGUUGGCUUGAAAAAAAAAUCAGAUUUAUCAAUAAGAAUUUUUCAUAACUAUUUCAAAUGUCAUUUUGACCUUCUAGAGCUCCAAAUUUUGACUUGAUUUCUGAAAGACAGGGUUAUAAAACUUUGAAAUGCAGGUAAGCUUAUGUAACUUUCAAAUCAAGAUGUGCAUUAAGUGUUUACGGGAAAUAAAGCUGUUUAGAGCAGGAAAAUAUCUUGGUCUGAUGUGGUUUCUGUAUAGAUCCCUCUGGGGAACCUACCAGGGCAGAGAACUUUCAGUUUCCAUGAGUACCUUAAUAAACUUGAAAAGACUUUGUGGGUCUAAAAAUGUUUCUACACUACAGGAACACUUUAGUCGUAGUGUCGUAGUGUUAGUGAUUAGUUAGUUUAUGUCGUAGUGUUAGUGAUUUAUAUGUUUGGCAGCCAUUACACUCCAAAUGAACACUCCAAAUGCUGGACAGCAUAGCUUCCUGCUUCUGUUUCCAUAACUUCUGUUUCCAUUCCCUUUGGGUAUGCUGAGAGCAGGGCUGGAGCCCCAUGGCAUCCUUGUCAUUAUCUAAGGCUCCCUGCAGUCUGACUGGGCAGCCAGUCUGACAGAGUGGGCAGAAUGCAGUUGCCUGUACACAAAAUUUUGAGAAGAUACUCCCAGAUUCUGCAGGUUCUACAGGCACUCCACUUUAUCUUCAAUUUCUUGGAAUUUGUCUGGCUUCCAUCCCAUACUCCAAGGACUGUUUAUGCCUUUCUCAUUUCAUGUUUAUGUGAAAUGCACAAACAGACCUUGGGACAAGGCCUGAAAUGCAGGUCUAAGUCUAAGAUCAGUACCUCCUUUGCUGGUCUUUGUGCAAGAUAUAUUCUCUGCAAAUGGCAAAGCUUUCUAUUUCCCAUGAGAAAGAAAACUCAGAACUCUACAGAAGCCAGAAUACUCCUGCCGUAAGAUCUUUGUUAUUCAUAAUCUCUUGCAACUGUAGGACACUGUAGCUCACAUCCAUUGUUUUUAGCAUCUCUUGUGUUUCCUCCCACUUGCACUCCCCAAGUAUCCAUAUGCUGACUGCAGACAAGUGGACACUGUCACAAUGCUUUGAACUUUUUAGGGCCCUUGUGGCAGCACACGAUACCAGUACUGCCUUUCAGUGGUAAAACCCAGGAAAAUAAUCCCUCAGGCAAAAUUCUUUAUUUCAUGAUUCUGUGUGUCUGUCCAUGGAUCCGAGGAGAGUCUUUAUAGAGGAAGUCCAUAUCACAGAGUCAAUUUGCUGCUGAAAUCUCCAAAUCCUGUUCCUUUCUCCAUCCCCCAAAAUGGUCAAACACAAAUUUCAACUGACAGUAGCAUACACGAGACCAACUUCUAUUUAGUUUCCAAAUGAAACCUAUGAAUCACUCAAAAUCCUCACUUCUAGUGUUGUUUCUGAGAAUUGUGAAGAACAAACUCUGAAGAACAUAUAAAUAUUUUUCUUAAAAUUAGUUUCAACUGGACAUAAAUACUACGAAAAAAUGUCAGAAUUUCAUCCAUAAGGAUGCACAUUUUUUUAAAAAUAAUCUUAAAUACAAAAAGGAACUUGCCCUUGAGCUACAAUUAUCUUCCUUGCAGGGAAUCACAUGGACUUAGAGGAUCUAGAGCCAGUAGUGAACUAAAAAGAAAUUCACUGUGCAGACAUAGUGGCAUGCCUUGAAUGCAAUAUCUCAGUUAGGCUGACAGGGUGUAGCCUUCUAGAAACACAGAUGUAUUUACAUGUUAAUGAAAAAGCAAAAAUCAAAGGCAUUUCAUUUACAUAAGGUUUUAUUAUAUUUUCCCCUCAGCUGGUACUCCAUUACUACAGCCUUAGCAGAGUUUUGCUUCCUUAGUAGACAGGUUUUCAACUGACUGUCUCUGACUGAAAACAUCUAGGCUAGGUCAGAAUUUAGACCCAGCCUUUCAUUAAUACAGUCAGAUACAAAGGACCAGUCAAAAUCCUGGCCACCUGGAGGACUGCAAAGGAACCAAAAACAAUCCAAGAGGAUUUUCAUAAUUUUCUGUGUUUGAAUAGAGAGCCUUUCAUGUGCAUUGAUCCCUAAAUAGUUGAGCAAUUACACCAUACAUUCAAGACAUGGAUACAUUCUACAUUUCAAGCUCUAAU